AUUGAACGCUGGCGGCAGGCUUAACACAUGCAAGUCGAACGAGUGGCGGACGGCUGAGUAAUGUCUGGGACCCCUCCCGAUGGAGGGGGAUAACUACUGGAAACGGUAGCUAAUACCGCAUACCAUCGGAUGUGCCCAGAUGGGAUUAGCUGGUAGGUGGGGUAACGGCUCACCGGGGCGACGAUCCCUGGCUGGUCUGAGAGGAUGACCAGCGACACUUGAACUGAGACGCGGUCCAGAGUCCUACGGGAGGCAGCAGUUGGGAAUAGUACACAAUGGGCGCGAGCCUGAUGCAGCCAUGCCACGUGUAUGAAGAAGGCCUUCGGGUUGUGAAGUACUUUCAGCGAGGAGGCGUUACUCGCAGAAGAAGCACCGGCUAACUCCGUGCCAGCAGCCGCGGUAAUUC
rnacentral:rRNA from 1 species